AAGUCGUAACAAGGUUUCCGUAGGUGAACCUGCGGAAGGAUCAUUAACACAAUCUGAAGAUUAAAACCUCUUCAAACUAACGUGAACUUAAAAAAAUCGCCCUAUAAUACUUCGUUAUUGUAGGCAAUGAGAAUAGUAAUAAUUCCAAUAUAAUUCAAUUUAUUGCAUUGUAUUGCAAUUAUUACUGUUCGAUCCAUAUUUUUUUACACCAUUAUAAUCCACAUUGUAGUUGACUUGUAAUUCUAUAUAUGGCUAUAGCUAGCUAUAUAUUAAUGUUAAUAUAAUAAACAUAAAAACAAAAACAACUCUUAACAAUGGAUAUCUUGGUUCUCGU
rnacentral:misc_RNA from 1 species